CAACGCGAAGAACCUUACCUACUCUUGACAUCCUAAGAAGCCGCCAGAGAUGGUGGUGUGCCUUCGGGAGCUUAGAGACAGGUGCUGCAUGGCUGUCGUCAGCUCGUGUUGUGAAAUGUUGGGUUAAGUCCCGCAACGAGCGCAACCCUUAUCCUUUGUUGCCAGCAUGUUAGGGUGGGAACUCAAAGGAGACUGCCGGUGAUAAACUGGAGGAAGGUGGGGAUGACGUCAAGUCAUCAUGGCCCUUACGAGUAGGGCUACACACGUGCUACAAUGGCGUAUACAGAGGGAGGCGAGCCUGCGAGGGUAAGCGAAGCUCAGAAAGUACGUCUAAGUCCGGAUUGGAGUCUGGAACUCGACUCCAUGAAGUCGGAAUCGCUAG
rnacentral:rRNA from 1 species